CAUAGCGGAAGACUUAUUACAAAAUAAAAGAUAAAUAUAAAACGAACUAAGGAUCAUCGGCGCCAAUGUCGACUGAGAAACGCCACCUAGAUCAAAUCGAACUCCUCGCUUUGUGGCUCCUCCUGAACCACCUGUUCUUCUCCUGUGGGGGGGUGUGAGACAGCAAGAGUGAGCUCACAUACGUUCAUAGCUCAAUAAGUCGUGGGGAAUAAUGUGGCACGAACUCACCAAAGGUGGGAGUUCAUGAAGUGUAAGGCUGAUCAAAGAAAUAAAGGUUGAGGCUGAGCAUUGCUUUUAUAAGUUGGUCAAAAUUUUAUUAGCAAUUACUAAGUGUAAGUAAAUACCAAACCUUAAUAAUAAUAAAGAAAAGUAAUAGUAAAAUAAUCCCAAAUGUGAUGCAAAUGUCAAAUUAAAUUUAAGUUCCAUAAUUAAUCAUGUGAGGGUCCGAGCCGCUCAUGACCGUGAGCACGGCUAGUAUACUAGUUUUACACUCUGCAGAGGUUGCACAUCUUUACCCACAAGUCAUGUUACCCAUCUGCCAAGAGAUGGCCAAUCCCAUACACCUCUACCGAGGAGGCGAGGCAGGGUAACACUACGAGGCCUUUACAAAGUUCCACUAGCUUCAGAAAUCCCGCUACAGUUUAUAGGAAGCUCCAAUGCAGGGUUCUUGCCUGACCGCCAUCGCAACAAAAUCAACCCAAGGACCUCCCUACACUGACCACUCCCCUACUGCCCUUGCCCCUUUCAGGUAAGGAAGACCUCCACUAGCUUUCCUAGUUAAUCAGCCAAGGGCGUCCCAUUAUACCCUUGUGGUAGCACUGUUUUCCCGGGUGGUCGCUCCAUGUUCCCAUUAACAUAAUGAUCUUAACAUGAACAGUAAUAAUAAAAGAGAAUAAAAGAGUAAUUAUGAAUAAAGUAUCUUCAUACCCAAAUCCACAUAAAGCAAUAGCAGGUACUACCCAAAGAAAUAUUUCAGUGGUAAACAAGGUAUAAAGAUAGCCAAAACUAGGGUAACCUAUUGGGUCCCAUCAAAAUUAUCCUAUGCAGAUCAUUAUAAUUAAUAAGAAUAUGGCUGCGAAAAAGUAAGUGAUCAAGGGCACAACUUGACUUCAAUGAGCUCCUGCUCAGCUACCUCUACUUGUUGAACCUCAGUUUCCACAUUGGCUUGCUCGUCUACUCGCAUCAACACAAUACAUACAUAGUAUAGCCAAAAUCAACAUCACACCAAACAGAUGAAUAAAAUAUACAGUAAAAAUCUAUACAUUAAAUGAAAUCAUAGGAACUGGAAUCACUAAAUUUGGAGUUAUAGAUUUCAAGUUAUGAAUUUCCUAAGGUUUAAUGUGAUUAAAAUAGGAUUAGAUGAGAAAUUAAUUUUCUUACUGUUUUCAUGUCAAAACAGAGACACUAAAUGAUAGAGAAUAAAAUUACAAAAUUUUAGGAACUGGAAUGGUUCAAUUUGGAGCUAAAAUGAAUUUUCUAUGCAUUUUACAAGUUCUAACAUUCAUUUGGGCAUUAAAACUAAUUUCUGAUAUAAAUUUCUGAUUUUUAAUACCCUCUGGAUUGGGCCACGUUUUCUGAAAAGUACAGGGGCGCCUAGGUAAAAAUCCCGAGUCACAGAGAACAGUAUAGGGUAGACUGCGGGUUGAAUAGUUAUUAAUCUAGGGUCUCUUUAGAAAUUAUGCCGCGCGAAGGGGUAUCUUGUGUUUUCAGCCGUCCGAUCUAGAGUCUAGGGUUUAGAUUUUAUGAAGCCUAACGCAUUAUGAACCGUUCGAUUAAACCUACGGCCCGGAUUGACUCAUCCAGGAGGUAUCCCCGAUUAGAUCUGCACCGCAUAUCAACGAUCUCACGAACAUCUUUCGCCCAACCCAUCUUCUAAUCUCGACCGGUCAUCUCAGCAUCUACGGCGACGACAUCGUCUUCCACCCAACAGCCCAGACGCCGUCUUCCUCCCUCGUGCUCGCACUCUACGGCGGCGGCCCAGCCGAUCCCCUACGGCUGAACACCAUAACCGAGCCAGCACGCAGUUCCGUGUUCGCCGUCCAAGCCCUAACUUCUACCCGGACGACCUCGUUCGAUACCCCGGUGUUCUGCGCGAUACUCGAGCGACCCACUACAAUCUAUACCCUGACGAUACCUUGUGCGAAAAUCAUAGCAGCAAGGAUAGCGGAAAAAGAACUCACCCCGCCGAGACAAGGUAGAGGCUGGGCGCAGGUGAUGCUUCACGAAAGAUCGCCACCGAGGACCCUCCUGCAUAGAUGGUUUCGCCCCGUCCGAAGAACUCCACCGGCAGUCUUCUAAUCCCGCGAGCAAUGGAGGCGCGCCCACGUUAGUCACCAGGGACCCAGCGACGGUAGUCCAAGCACCACACCGGUGGGUUCGGGACGUCGAUCUCGCCCACGCCGAGCGGAAUUUGAGAGGGGUUCGCAUGGUGUGAAUAGAGGGCACCGCAGAAGGGGCGAUUUCCAUCCAUUAAUAGGAGCCCGGGAGUCGCCAUGCACGCCCGGCAUGCAUGGCCGGGUUACGGAGUCCGUUGCGAGGUGGACGGAGUGCGUUGUUCGGGGAAGAUCCACAGCGCGAACUGACAGAAGGGACCGCGUGGUAGAGACUCAAGGAUGGGAGGGCGUGACUGCGCCAGAGCUGCCAAACCGGACCCGCUUGUAAGCCAAACAGAGCAGCGCGGGUGGUGUUAGUCUGGCGAGCAGGUCCCGCAUGGUCAGUGCCAUCUUCAGCCCUGGGCCGCACGGAGGAACAGGUUGGGCAGGGAGCUAGAUUCUUUUUUUUUCAAGCGCGGUUUGGUUCUGCUGGGCCAAAAGUGUAGUUCGAGGCCCACUUAGGUUUUCUUCUCCUUUUUCUUUUGCUUUUAUUAUUUUCUGUUUUCUUUUAUUCCUAAUUCAUUUGAACUUAAAUUUUGAACUCAACUUAAGUGUAAAUUCAAGUUCAUGUUGACUAUGCAAUUUGGUCACCCCAUCAUGUGGUGAAGUUAUUUAAUUAUAAUAUUAUUUAUAUUGAAUAAUAUUUCUUUCUCUUCUCUACUUUUAUGGUUUUGUUCUUCAAAUUAGAGGUUAAAUUCCAUGGGUCCAUUAACAUAUUGUUAAUGAUACACUUAUUUUAUUAUCCACAAAUGCACAAUCAAAUAAAACUCAACAUGAUGCAAGAUUUAUUUUGGUGUCUUUGGUUAUUUACUCCUUUUUGAUGAUAUUCAUUCACAUGUGAUAGUAAAUGGAUAUAACUCACACAUAUAGAUAAAGGAAUUAUUCUCUUAUCACAUGAUUUACAAAUUUGGGUGUUACAAAUCCUACCCCCCUUAAAAAUAAUCUCGUCCUCGAGAUUUAGGCAGAUCUAGGGAAAAGGUGGGGAAAAUCUAUGCGAAGCUCUUCUUCUCUUUCCCAAGUUGCUUCAUCUUCUCCGUGGUGACUCCAUUGAACUUUGCACAUCUUUAUAACCUUAUUCCUCGUGACUCGAGUCAAAGUAUCCAAAAUCUUGAUGGGGUACUCAGCAUAAGUUAGAUCCUCUUGAACACUAAGGUCCUCCAUUGGUAAUUGUUCUUCAGGCACCCUGAGACAUUUCUUCAGCUGAGAUACAUGAAAUACAUCAUGAACAUCCGCAAGAUGAUCCGAUAACUCCAAUUGAUAUGCCACCUCUCCCACUCGCUUUAAGAUUAAGAAGGGUCCAAUAAAGCGAGGGGACAACUUUCCUUUGACUUUAAAUCUUCUCAUACCCCGGAGUGGUGACACCUUCAAAUAGACAUAAUCUCCCUCCUUAAACUCAAGCAGUCUUCUCCGGGUGUCAGCAUAGCUUUUCUGCCUGGACUGUGCAGUUCUCAAAUUUUCCCUUAUUUGCUAGACUUGUUCUUCUGCUUCUUGUAUAAUCUCAGGCCCAAACAACUGCCUUUCACCAGUUUGAUCCCAAUACAGUGGGGUCCUGCACUUUCUGCCAUACAAAGCCUCAAACGGUGACAUCUUCAAACUGGCCUGAUAGCUAUUAUUGUAAGAGAACUCCGCAUACGGUAGACUCUUAUCCCAACUUCCACCAUGCUUAAGGGCACAAGCUCUUAACAUAUCUUCCAGUACUUGGUUGGUCCUCUCAGUCUGCCCAUGAGUCUGGGGAUGGUAAGCCGAACUAAAAUUCAAUUUCGUAUCCAAUGACUCGUGUAACUUCUUCCAAUACCGAGAGGUAAACUGUGAUCCCCGGUCUGAUACAAUCUUCUUUGGCACACCAUGCAGGCAGACAAUCCGUGCCAUGUACAACUCUGCCAACUUAGCUCCUGAAUAUGUGGUCUUCACUGGAUUAAAGUGGGCUACUUUAGUUAGCCUGUCCACAAUCACCCAUAUAGAAUCAUAUCCAGCAGACGUGCGGGGUAAUCCAACAAUGAAGUCCAUGCCAAUCUCUUCCCAUUUCCACUCAGGUAUUUUCAGUGGAUGCAGUAAUCCGGCUGGCCUCUGGUGUUCAGCCUUAACUCUUUGGCACACAUCGCACAUAGCCACAUGGGCAACCACAUCUCUCUUCAAUACAUACCACCAAUAUUUUUGCUUCAAAUCCUGAUACAUCUUGGUACUACCAGAAUGAAUAGAAUAAUCCAAGUCACGGGCUUCCUUUAAAAUAGUCUCACGAAGGCUUUCAAUAUCAGGAACACAUAUCCUGUCCUUGAACCAUAUGGUGCCUUGUUCAUCUUCCGUGAAUUCCGGACCUCGACCUUCAGUAAUCAGAUCCUUAAUCUCUUGUAUUUUAGCAUCACCAGUCUGUCCUUUGCGGAUUUCUUGCUCCAAAGUAGGUUCAACAUCAAUAAUAACUCCUUUAGUGUGAGCAACUAUCCCCAGGUUAAGUCUCCUAAAAUCCUCAACAAUCUCAUCGGGUAGCUGGGCAACAACAGCUGAAUGAACGUGCUCCUUUCGACUCAAGGCAUCUGCAACCAAAUUUGCCUUGCCCGGAUGAUAGUGAAUUUCCAAAUCAUAAUCCUUAAUAAGCUCCAACCAACGGCGUUGCCUAAGUUUGAGAUUCUUCUAAGUGAAUAUAUACUUCAAACUCUUAUGAUCCAUGUAUACUUGGCACUUAGUUCCCAUAAUAUAAUGUCUCCAAAUCUUAAGCGCAUGCACAACGGCUGCCAGUUGUAGGUCAUGAGUGGGGUAGUUCAACUCUUGUUUCCGUAACUGACGAGACGUGUAGGCAAUCACAUGUCCUUGCAUGAGCACACAUCCUAAGCCUUGGCCACAGGCAUCACAAUAAAUGUCAAAUCUCUUAUGUAGAUCUGGCAUAACCAACACUAGUGAUGACAUUAAUCUCAUCUUUAAUUGAUCAAAGCUAUCUUGACACUUCUUGUCCAACUUAAACUCUCUUCCCUUCUCCAUAAGUGAGGUCAUAGGCUUAGCAAUCUUAGAAAGUCCUUCAAUAAAUCUCCGAUAAUAUCCUGCAAGUCCCAAGAAACUCUGGACCUCAGUAACUAUAGUGGGUAUGCUCCACGCCACUAUCUCCUUGACUUUAGCAGGAUCCACUGAUAUUCCUCCAUUAGAAAUGACAUGUAAGGAAUGGUACCUCACCGAUCCAAAACUCGCAUUUACUGUACUUGGCAUAGAGUUGAUUAUCUCUUAGCUUUUGUAGCACCAAUCUCAGGUGUUCCUCAUGAUCACUUUCACUCUUAGAAUAGAUAAGACUAUCGUCGAUGAAAACCACGAUGAAUCUAUCUAGAUCAUGAACACCUUAUUCUUCAGAUCCAUAAAAUAGGCUGGUGCAUUUAGUUAGUCCAAAUGACAUAACAGUGAACUCAUAUAAUCCAUAUCGGGUCAAGAAAUCUGUCUUGGAAAUAUCUGAUGGCCUAAUCUUCAUUUGAUGGUAACUCGAUCAGAGAUGAAUCUUCGAGAAUACCCUAGCAUCUCUCAUCCAAUCAAAUAAAUCCUCAAUGCGGGGUAACAGGUACUUGUUCUUCGCGGUAACAUCAUUAAGGAACCUAUAAUCCACGCACAUCCCUUGCGAUCCUUCUUCCUUCUGUACAAAUAGAACCGGCGCUCCACAAGGUGAAGAUUUCGAACGAAUGUACACAACCUCUUGUAAUUCCGUUAAUUGCUUCUUAAGUUCCUUUAGUUCUUCUAUGGACAUCUCGUAUAGCCGUUUAGAAAUAGGAGCAGUCUCAGGUAAGAGAUCAAUGACAAACUCAACUUCUCUAUCUGGUGGCAGCCCUGGUAACUCUUCUGGGAAGACAUCCGGAAAAUCUCUAACCACACGGAUGUUGUUACCAACAAAUUUCCCAUUUACUAAGAAUGUCGCUAGUCUGGUGGUGGUAGUUACUGCAAUUCCAACUUCAAAUAUUUCUCCUUUGGAACUGGUGAGUUCUAUGGUUCCUUUAGCACAGUGUAUAAACUGCCUUUGCCUUUCUUAACCAUGACAUACCAAGGAUCACAUCUAUAGUGCUCUCUUCUAACACUAUAGGGGUAGUCCAUCUAGGUUAGAAAUACAGGGUAAGAAAGGAAGAAUUGUAGACAAGGUGAGUAAUUACGAGAAAUGUUACUUUGGGGGAUUUAUUAGCUGAGUGUGUCGCAUACUAAAGCUAAUUCAUUACCUUAUAGUGGUACAUGCUAAGAUGCCCGUCUAUACUAUUUCAAUCAAUCAAAGAAGCAAAUCAGGCAUUGAUCAACAGAACAAUCAACCAACAUUUUUAAUAGAGAAAAUAAUUUUUAAUUUCUUUUUUUUAGGUCUCCUAUCUCUUAAAAAGGUUAUAAAUGUAGGAUUCCAAGGUGUGAAAUCCUUCUUGUCUUAGAGUAGAAAAGAUAAGAAUAAUCAGAGUAGAGUAGCAAAAGGUGAGACAGGUUCAAGAUAAGGUAAGUAUGGAAUGAAUCAGAGUAAGGUAAGUAUAGAAUGAAUCACAAGAAGGUAAGUAGGGAAGGGUUUUGUCCAUUUCUAUCUAGGUUUCGUCCUACAGUCAACAUUUCCUCUGAUACCACUUCUGUCACACCCGGUUUUAAGGGACAAAGCCGGAUGCAUCUCAUACAUGCGCCAAGAAGACAACAUAUAUAAUAACAGAGUGUAUAGAGAUAAAUGUCAUAAAUCAUCAGAGUAUUUAUUACAUAGCGGAAGACUUAUUACAAAAUAAAAGAUAAAUAUAAAACGAACUAAGGAUCGUCGGCGCCAAUGUCGACUGAGAAACGCCACCUAGAUCAAAUCGAACUCCUCGCUUUGUGGCUCCUCCUGAACCACCUGUUCUUCUCCUGUGGGGGGGUGUGAGACAGCAAGAGUGAGCUCACAUACGUUCAUAGCUCAACAAGUCGUGGAGAAUAAUGUGGCACGAACUCACCAAAGGUGGGAGUUCAUGAAGUGUAAGGCUGAUCAAAGAAAUAAAGGUUGAGGCUGAGCAUUGCUUUUAUAAGUUGGUCAAAAUUUUAUUAGCAAUUACUAAGUGUAAGUAAAUACCAAACCUUAAUAAUAAUAAAGAAAAGUAAUAGUAAAAUAAUCCCAAAUGUGAUGCAAAUGUCAAAUUAAAUUUAAGUUCCAUAAUUAAUCAUGUGAGGGUCCGAGCCGCUCAUGACCGUGAGCACGGCUAGUAUACUAGUUUUACACUCUGCAGAGGUUGCACAUCUUUACCCACAAGUCAUGUUACCCAUCUGCCAAGAGAUGGCCAAUCCCAUACACCUCUACCGAGGAGGCGAGGCAGGGUAACACUACGAGGCCUUUACAAAGUUCCACUAGCUUCAGAAAUCCCGCUACAGUUUAUAGGAAGCUCCAAUGCAGGGUUCUUGCCUGACCGCCAUCGCAGCAAAAUCAACCAAAGGACCUCCCUACACUGACCACUCCCCUACUGCCCUUGCCCCUUUCAGGUAAGGAAGACCUCCACUAGCUUUCCUAGUUAAUCAGCCAAGGGCGUCCCAUUAUACCCUUGUGGUAGCACUGUUUUCCCGGGUGGUCGCUCCAUGUUCCCAUUAACAUAAUGAUCUUAACAUGAACAGUAAUAAUAAAAUAGAAUAAAAGAGUAAUUAUGAAUAAAGUAUCUUCAUACCCAAAUCCACAUAAAGCAAUAGCAGGUACUACCCAAAGAAAUAUUUCAUUGGUAAACAAGGUAUAAAGAUAGCCAAAACUAGGGUAACCUAUUGGGUCCCAUCAAAAUUAUCCUAUGCAGAUCAUUAUAAUUAAUAAGAACAUGGCUGGGAAAAAGUAAGUGAUCAAGGGCACAACUUGCCUUCAAUGAGCUCCUGCUCAGCUACCUCUACUUGUUGAACCUCAGUUUCCACAGUGGCUUGCUCGUCUACUCGCAUCAACACAAUACAUACAUAGUAUAGCCAAAAUCAACAUCACACCAAACAGAUGAAUAAAAUAUACAGUAAAAAUCUACACAUUAAAAUGAAAUCAUAGGAACUGGAAUCACUAAAUUUGGAGUUAUAUAUUUCAAGUUAUGAAUUUCCUAAGGUUUAAUGUGAUUAAAAUAGGAUUAGAUGAGAAAUUAUUUUUCUUACUGUUUUCAUGUCAAAACAGAGACACUAAAUGAUAGAGAAUAAAAUUACAAAAUUUUAGGAACUGGAAUGGUUCAAUUUGGAGCUAAAAUGAAUUUUCUAUGCAUUUUACAAGUUCUAACAUUCAUUUGGGCAUUAAAACUAAUUUCUGAUAUAAAUUUCUGAUUUUUAAUACCCUCUGGAUUAGGCCACGUUUUCUGAAAAGUAUAGGGGCGCCUAGGUAAAAAUCCCGAGUCACAGAGAACAGUAUAGGGUAGACUGCGGGUUGAAUAGUUAUUAACCUAGGGUCUCUUUAGAAAUUAUGCCGCGCGAAGGGGUAUCUUGUGUUUUCAGCCGUCCGAUCUAGAGUCUAGGGUUUAGAUUUUAUGAAGCCUAACGCAUUACGAACCGUUCGAUUAAACCUACGGCCCGGAUUGACUCAUCCAGGAGGUAUCCCCGAUUAGAUCUGCACCGCAUAUCAACGAUCUCACGGACAUCUUUCGCCCAACCCAUCUUCUAAUCUCGACCAGUCAUCUGAGUAUCUACGGCGACAACAUCGUCUUCCACCCAACAGCCCAGACGCCGUCUUCCUCCCUCGUGCUCGCACUCUACGGCGGCGGCCCAGCCGAUCCCCUACGGCUGAACACCAUAACCGAGCCAGCACGCAGUUCCGUGUUCGCCGUCCAAGCCCUAACUUCUACCCGGACGACCUCGUUCGAUACCCCGGUGUUCUGCGCGAUACUCGAGCGGCCCACUACAAUCUAUACCCUGACGAUACCUUGUGCGAAAAACAUAGCAGCAAGGAUAGCGGAAAAAGAACUCACCCCGCCGAGACAAGGUAGAGGCUGGGCGCAGGUGAUGCUUCACGAAAGAUCGCCGCCGAGGACCCUCCUGCAUAGAUGGUUUCGCCCCGUCCGAAGAACUCCACCGGCAGUCUUCUAAUCCCGCGAGCAAUGGAGGCGCGCCC
rnacentral:lncRNA from 1 species